UACGUAGGGGGCUAGCGUUGUCCGGAAUCAUUGGGCGUAAAGAGCGUGUAGGCGGCUCGGUAAGUCCGCUGUGAAAGUCCAGGGCUCAACCCUGGAAUGCCAGUGGAAACUGUCGAGCUAGAGUCCGGAAGAGGCGAGUGGAAUUCCUGGUGUAGCGGUGAAAUGCGCAGAUAUCAGGAGGAACACCAAUGGCGAAGGCAGCUCGCUGGGACGGUACUGACGCUAAGGCGCGAAAGCGUGGGGAGCGAACAGG
rnacentral:rRNA from 1 species